UGGGGAAUUUUGGACAAUGGGCGCAAGCCUGAUCCAGCCAUGCCGCGUGCGGGAAGAAGGCCUUCGGGUUGUAAACCGCUUUUGUCAGGGAAGAAAUCUUCUGAGUUAAUACCUCGGGAGGAUGACAGUACCUGAAGAAUAAGCACCGGCUAACUACGUGCCAGCAGCCGCGGUAAUACGUAGGGUGCAAGCGUUAAUCGGAAUUACUGGGCGUAAAGCGUGCGCAGGCGGUUUUGUAAGACAGAGGUGAAAUCCCCGGGCUCAACCUGGGAACUGCCUUUGUGACUGCAAGGCUUGAGUGCGGGCAGAGGGGGGAAUGGAAUUCCGCGUGUAGCAGUGAAAAUGCGUAGAUAUGCGGNGGAACACCGAUGGCGAAGGCCAAUCCCCCUGGGGCCUGCACUGACGCUCAUGCACGAAAGCGUGGGGGAGCAAAACAGGAUUAGAUACCCUGGUAGUCCACGCCCUAAAACGAUGUCAAACUGGUUGUUGGGGAAGGUUCCUUCUCAGUAACGUAGCUAACGCGUG
rnacentral:rRNA from 1 species